CAGGAGCUGGCUGGAUUCAUUUUAUUUUGGGGGUAGUUGGGGGAGGAAUAUCAUUUCUGAAAUGCCCAAGGAAUGAAGGGAGAGGAUAUGGAUUUCUUAAACAGUUUUUGCAAGAGGAGCGGUGUCUUGUUUUGCAGGUCCUGGCGAAGAGCACCUAAAACCCUGAGGAUUUCCUAAGUGAUAAGAGAGACAAAGGGGUUGACACUUGGACUAGUUAAGACACUUGCCCAGGACUAUUACAGACUGCAAGCAACUGGACUGAGGUAAAUCAGCAGGACUCAAGUACAUGGUGCUCCUAUAAGCCUGAUAUCAAGACUGAGGACUUCCCUAGGCUCCAGCUAUUCCCAUGAAAGUCCAGCAUCUAGAGAUGAGAAAACUGGAGACAUGUUAGGGAAACGCCCUCUGAUCUCACACUAAAUCCCAAACCUAAGUAGCUUAAAUGAUAAAGUCUAUUUCUUGCUCACUAAUACCCAGUACAAGAGUUCCUGCUGAUGAGUGGUGCUUCAGUGGCUCAGACCCCUGCCAUCUGGGCUCUACUCUUCAUUAUAGCCUUGAAAUCCACUGCCUUCAGCUGGUAAGUAGGGAAAAUGAGAUGGCCCACUUCUUAACUACUCCAGCUUAAAAGUGGCACAGAUCACACAUCAUUGGAAAGAAACAAUUAAUGUCUUCACCUCAAAACUAAUGGGCUGAAAAUAUAAACCCUUGCUGGCAAAAGCGUCCUUACAACUCUACACCAUGAAAGGGGCACAGAAUCCCUGACAGACAAUCAGCUAUUUGUGCCGCUGAGAAUAUGCUCGGCCCUUCCACCAACUCCAGGUAUGGCAGUGGAGAUGGAGGAGAGGAAAGAGGGUAUGUCCUGACCUAGUGGGUGAGGUUCUGAAAGUCUUGGGGUAGUUCCUCAAAGAAGUCAAUAUUGAAGAAGAAGCUGAGCUAAAGCUCCACAGAAAGACAUAGAAGGGAGGUCUUACGCUCCAGAAAGUGGCCAGACAGAAGUGGUCAGGUGCAGAGAUGAAGCUGGAAUGUGGGGCUCAAUAUUGAGAAAGCAGAGAAAAGAGAACAAGGGGAUUGAGGGAAAACUCCAAGUGUGGGUACUGGAAGGAUUUUCUUAAACAGAGCCUACUGCUCAUGUACAAAGCAAUGGAGGGGAGAGUGGGCUGGGAACAGCAUGGAUGGGACAGCAGCACUUCCCUUUGACACGCAGAUGGAAGUCUAGGCGGCCACACAUGGACUCCUCAAAGCCUGGCUGCCUCUUUUCCAUAACUUCACUUCUGGAGAGUGCCACCCCCAAGACAGCGAGGACCCUGAAGAAGCCAUCACUGAUGUUUAGAAUACAUUUUCCCUCUAUCUGAAAUAGAGUAACAGAGAUGUUGUAGGUGGUUGUGGAAUUCCUCCCACACUUUGAUGCUGCAAGGAAAGGAGCCACAGUCAAGGAAUUUGUAGCAAUGACAAAGUUAAAACUGUCUUUUUGAAGGAAUUAAAAGGACUCAUACUGGAGAACUUUUGUAAAGCCUACAGGAUUUUAAAUACGUUGAAAAGGAGGUUCCUGUAGCUGAUCUCUUUUGAAAGAAUUUUUUAACUGACGAAACACAUUUCAUGUAUAAAUAUAAUUUCAAAAUAGAUAUCUUUUCCCCUAGAUGUCUUUGGGAAAAGGAGCAGACCUACUGAACAGGACAUUUGCCCUUCCUAAAUCCCCUUCCAGUCCAACCUUUCCACAGAUCGCAGCCAUAGCUGGAGUAGAAAAUCAAACCAAGGCAGUCUGAGCCCGUAGCUGGUCAGAUGCCCUCCUACCCAUUCAACAAAGAUCCUGUCCAGUAGGGGCCAGGGGAAAGUUCAAGCUUGUCUUCUGCAGACUAAAUUGGUCAAUGGGUUAUCAUUGAGAGGGCAGGCUUUGUAGGCUGGCAAACACUGUUCUAGUCUGGACUCUGCCUCCAUUGCCUGUAUGGCAUCAGACAACACAGGCAAUGGGAGGAUUGGCAUAUAUCUAUGCCGUACAUGAGAGCCUGUAACAAAGAACAUUUCUCAGCAAUGGAUCCAGCAUAGAGGAAGCACUUAAUAAACAUUAGCAUUACUAAAAAAGUAGGCUGCUUCAAAUCUGCAAACCCUACAUUUUUUUAUGUUAAACUUUCUGCCACUAACAAGGGUCCAUUUUGAUAUCACUUCUCACUGUACUCAAAUAAUUAAUCCUUUCCUAUGUUCCAGUUGCUCCCAUGUUUGUCUGAAACUGUCACUCAGUCUUGUCAGUCUCAGAAAUCCCAUUUUUAUAGCAAACAUUUGGUACUGAAAAUCCAAACAUAGUAUGACCUACCUUACAUACAUUCGAAAAGAAAGUGAAUGCUCUAUGAGGGAAAAAAAUUUACAACGAAAUAAUAUAAAUUUUCAUGUGUAAAUACUUCUGACACAACUACAUUAAAAGACAAACAAAGUAAUGACAUGCUUGAACCUACCUCCUGUGAACAUGUUCAGACUUCAGGAAAAUAAGAAAAUAUUCAACCAACGUGAUAGGUAUUUUUCUUUAUGUUGGCAUUUUUAAGUAGCUGCUAACGAAGUGUAUCAGUAUAUAUUUGUAGAGUCAGCAUGACUACAACAGCUUCAAGGCUGAUUCUGGUGUGUGGUCUGAGUGACUCAGAUACUGUGGGAAGCAUUGCAUCAAUGGUGUGACUUCCCAAAAUGGAGAACAACUCUUAGUGAAAUUGGUGAACAAAUCAAAAGGCAAGAUUCCUUCAAUAACAUAGUAGCUGCCUUCUUGGGAAUGCAUAUUUAAAGAGUACAAAAAAUAAAAGUGUUUACAUUAAAGUAGAAUUAGCUCCUAGAUGUGCAUCAUUAUAAAUGUUUUUUUUUUUUUUUAUUUACAUGGAUGUUUGGAAGGACAUUCAAGAGCCAAGCAGGAAGCAGGAAAAUUCAUUCAGUGGCACUACUGAUGCACUAGAGGGAUGUUUAUGAUCCCUGGUGCUUGUCCAAGAAUGAAAGGGAUAAUUUCCAAUCAUUUUGACCCUACCAAAGAUGCCAGUGGUAAUUUCCAAGGAUUGUGACACCAAAAUUACCCUUACUACUUUUCAAAAUGUCCCUAUAGGGUAAUACUUCCCCCAUUGAGAAUCACACAUCUAAACUAAGGCCAAAAUAUGGUGCAGAUUAUUCUGGCUGAAGCCUGAUAAUAAAUGUAUUUGCUGUUGAUGUACUGUGAAAAUCUACAAGUGGAGAAAUCAUGUGGAGGCCUCUUACUGCGUUUCUGUAUGGUUUGUGGAAAUAAAGCUGAAGAACAUGCCCCUCAAUAGUGGUUGGAACUAUGUGUCCCCUACAUAUACACAGAUGUGUAGAACACAUUCUGUUAAAUGAUCACCUUUCUAAAUAUCAUCCAGGAAACUUAUCUUUGCUCAAGUAGCCAUUUACUCAAUUCCACUGAGGUCCCACUACUGAAAAAAUAAAUACAUAGAGAACAGUGUCCAGGAUUAGAGAUCUUGAAACUCAAAUCAUUGAUGCUGGUUCUUAGCCCCCAGUGCCACAAAAUGUGCCUCAAAGUAUCACUACAAAGCAUUAGUUAUAGAGGCCAGG